ACGGGUGAGUAACACGUGGGUGAUCUGCCCUGUACUUCGGGAUAAGCUUGGGAAACUGGGUCUAAUACCGGAUAGGACCAUGGUUUAGUGUCUCAUGGUGGAAAGAUUAUUGUUUUGGUGCAGGAUGAGCUCGCGGCCUAUCAGCUUGUUGGUGGGGUAAUGGCCUACCAAGGCGUCGACGGGUAGCCGGCCUGAGAGGGUGGACGGCCACAUUGGGACUGAGAUACGGCCCAGACUCCUACGGGAGGCAGCAGUGGGGAAUCUUCCGCAAUGGGCGAAAGCCUGACGGAGCAACGCCGCGUGAGUGAAGAAGGUCUUCGGAUCGUAAAGCUCUGUUGCCGGGGACGAAUGUAGGCAGUGCAAACAGCAUUGUGUAAUGACGGUACCCGGCGAGGAAGCCACGGCUAACUACGUGCCAGCAGCCGCGGUAAUACGUAGGUGGCGAGCGUUGUCCGGAAUUAUUGGGCGUAAAGGGAGCGCAGGCGGGCGAGUAAGUCUUUCUUAAAAGUGCGGGGCUCAACCCCGUGAGGGGAGAGAAACUACUCAUCUUGAGUGCAGGAGAGGAAAGCGGAAUUCCUAGUGUAGCGGUGAAAUGCGUAGAUAUUAGGAAGAACACCAGUGGCGAAGGCGGCUUUCUGGACUGUAACUGACGCUGAGGCUCGAAAGCCAGGGGAGCGAACGGGAUUAGAUACCCCGGUAGUCCUGGCCCAUAAAC
rnacentral:rRNA from 1 species